rnacentral:rRNA from 1 species
GACGAACGCUGGCGGCGUGCUUAACACAUGCAAGUCGAACGGUUGAGAAGUGAGAGGUGAGAGGUUAGAAGUGAGAUUAAGAAUCUCACAUCUCACUUCCCACAUCUCACUUCUCAAUAGUGGCGGACGGGUGAGUAACGCGUGGAUAACCUACCUAACUGACCGGGACAACGCUAGGAAACCGGCGCUAAUACCGGAUACGCUUGACAGGGCACAAGCCCAGUUAAGGAAAGGAGCAAUCCGCAGGUAGAUGGGUCCGCGUCCCAUUAGCUAGUUGGAGGUGUAAUAGACCCCAAGGCGACGAUGGGUAGCCGGCCUGAGAGGGUGUACGGCCACACUGGGACUGAGAUACGGCCCAGACUCCUACGGGAGGCAGCAGCUAAGAAUAUUCCGCAAUGGACGGAAGUCUGACGGAGCGACGCCGCGUGGAUGAAGAAGGCCGAAAGGUUGUAAAGUUCUUUUGCUAGGGGAGAAUAAGUGUGGGAGGGAAUGCCUGCACGAU